rnacentral:rRNA from 1 species
CAAUAGCGUAUAUUAAAGUUGUUGCGGUUAAAAAGCUCGUAGUUGGAUUUCUGCUGAGAACGACCGGUCCGCCCUCUGGGUGUGUAUCUGGCUCUUUCUUGGCAUCUUCUUGGUGAACGUUGCUGCACUUGACUGUGUGGAGCGCUACCCAGGACUUUUACUUUGAGGAAAUUAGAGUGUUUCAAGCAGGCAUACGCCUUGAAUACAUUAGCAUGGAAUAAUAAGAUAGGACCUCGGUUCUAUUUUGUUGGUUUCUAGAGCUGAGGUAAUGAUUAAUAGGGAUAGUUGGGGGCAUUCGUAUUUAACUGUCAGAGGUGAAAUUCUUGGAUUUGUUAAAGACGGACUAUUGCGAAAGCAUUUGCCAAGGAUGUUUUCAUUGA